AUUUAACGGUGGCUUUUCAAGCCACAGAUCUUGGAGAGAGGCCGAGCGGGAAUU
rnacentral:tRNA from 1 species